rnacentral:tRNA from 1 species
AUGUAAGAAGCGAAUAUAUUGCAUUCAGUUUCGACCUGACCCUUGAUAUCUUUGAUAUCCUUACUUU